rnacentral:rRNA from 1 species
CCUACGGGUGGCAGCAGUGAGGAAUAUUGGUCAAUGGACGAGAGUCUGAACCAGCCAAGUAGCGUGAAGGAUGACUGCCCUAUGGGUUGUAAACUUCUUUUAUAUGGGAAUAAAAUGUUCCACGUGUGGGCUUUUGUAUGUACCAUAUGAAUAAGGAUCGGCUAACUCCGUGCCAGCAGCCGCGGUAAUACGGAGGAUCCGAGCGUUAUCCGGAUUUAUUGGGUUUAAAGGGGGCGUAGGUGGAUUGUUAAGUCAGUUGUGAAAGUUUGCGGCUCAACCGUAAAAUUGCAGUUGAAACUGGCAGUCUUGAGUACAGGAGAGGUGGGCGGAAUUCGUGGUGUAGCGGUGAAAUGCUUAGAUAUCACGAAGAACUCCGAUUGCGAAGGCAGCUCACUGGACUGCAACUGACACUGAGGCUCGAAAGUGUGGGUAUCAAACAGGAUUAGAUACCCGGGUAGUC